AGAGGGACGACACAGGGGAGGGGUGGCUGGCCGGUGGGCCUGGAGCCAACGUUGAGGCCAGGGUGGAACACGUGCCUGAGACGAGGGUGGGCCGUCCCAGUGUCGGCUGCCUGCAGACAUCAGAAAUUUGGUUUUGAAUCACAAGAAGAAAUCAAGACUAAUAGUGGAAAAGUCUGAAAUGUCUUGCAUAGAGCUGGACUGUUUGCAGCUCAGGAUGUUUGCCAUCACAACGGCAGAGCCGCAGUUCACACCCAGGCACAUUCUCCCCAAGACCUGUGGCUGCAACCACUGCUAUGCAUGGAAUGUGAGACGGAUGGUGCUCGCCUAGCCAACAGUUGAUGCUGAAUACAUCUUCAUCUAUGUAUUGACCAUCUACCCUUUUCCCAUGUUUUGUUUGUCAAAAUUCUUUGCUAAUUUCCUUAUUAAAAAUGGUCAGUAUUUUAA